rnacentral:tRNA from 1 species
GACCGGGUAGCCGAGCAGGCCGUACGGCAUUUCGUCCUUGCCGGCGUCGCGGGCCAUGUCCUUGAGCGAGGGCACUCGUUCGAGCCGGGGCACGGUGACCA